CGGCAUGCCUGCAGCGUCCGUCGCUGCGAGGAAGCUGGCUGCACAGGCGGACCUGAAUGGCCACAGGAUUCUCGCCGACAAUUCUGGCGACUUGGUUGAUGAUGAUGAUAUCCGGGAGAUAAUUGAUCUGCUCGGUGACCCUACAGUCCCCGAUCCUAUACAAAGACUCAUUGAUGAUAUCUUGAGUUCGGGUGAGACUAGUGCAGGCUAUAUGGACAAUAUCACCGUCUUCACUGAUCAGGUGCCAGUGCCGGAGGUUGUUGCCUUCUGGAAUUUCAUUGAGAACAGUGGAUUGGACGUCUCUGUCCUCGUGGACGUCCUCAACAACUUCCUGGGCAUACCCAAUUGAGAGGAAUAUUUAAGGCAUUGUUUGGAUAAAUCAAUCUUAAUACACAUAGAUUGAGAUGGAGAAUAAACACUACCACAUAAUGAGUUAUCCCAGAGGGCACUAUCACCAACGAUUUUAGGUAAACCGACUGUAAUAUGUAUCAUCGCCAGUUCUAAAAUAAAUGGGGUUGUGGGAUGUUAGAACUGGCAGUGAAGCCAUCACCGCCGGUUCCAAUCAUAAACCGGCGGUGAAAGUCAACACCGUCGGCUCUUAUAAAAAUCCAUCGGUGAAACGGUCCGAUCGGAUCGAAAUCUUUUUCAAAUCCAGUUAAGCGUGCUUGACGUCCGCACUCUCCCCUCCCCCUCCGCCACUUCUCCCUUUCUCUCCCCCAGUCCCACUUCUCUCCUCCCUCUCUCCUUAUCCUGCAAGCCCCCUCACUCCCUCCACCACCGAACCCCUCCCCCCUCCCCGUCCAUUGAGCCCCUCCUUCCCUCCCUCCCUCCCCAGCCUCCCCUCUCCUCCCCCCUUCGCUCGCCCCUCACCUCGUGCCUAAGGUGAGAAGCGGCGGCGGGGCGAGGCGUGGCGGGGCGGCCAUCGGGGCACGGAGCGGCAACGGCUAGCGAGCUCGGCGUGACAGGAUGUAGCAGUGCGGACGAAGCGGCAGCGGCGGCAAGAUCCGGGGGUGACGGCGGCGGCGAAAUCCGGUGCACUUCCCCCUCUCCCUCUCCCCCUUCCUCCCUCCCCCCCUCUCUCCCCUCUCCCUUUCCCUCCCUCCCUCCCUCUCCCAUACCCCUGCCGGACCUACCCCUCUCCCGGCCGCAUCCUGGCGGCUGCGCCCGGCCGCCCCUCUCCCACGACCCACCGGCCACCCAUUCUUCGGCGGUCCGGUGAGGAGGAGCGGCGGCCGGCUAGGAAGAACGGGUGGCCGGCAGGUCGCGAGGAGGGGCGACCGGGCGCAGCCGGCGGGAUGCGGGGCUGAGCGCGGAUUUUUUUUUAUUUUUUAAUACGGCUUCACCGUCGGUUCCAGAACUGGCAGUGAUUCUAAUCACUGUCGAAAGUCAAAUAAUUGAUCUGCUCGGUGACCCUACAGUCCCCGAUCCUAUCCAAAGACUCAUUGAUGAUAUCUUGAGUUCGGGUGAGACUAGUGCAGGCUAUAUGGACAAUAUCACCGUCUUCACUGAUCAG
rnacentral:lncRNA from 1 species